rnacentral:lncRNA from 13 species
UCAUGAAGAAGGGAAUUAGCACCCAUUUCAGUCUUCCUACACUGGAGAGGAGGUCCAGGGGGGUGGAGGAAGCUCAGGGGACACUCUGGAUGGACCAUGCUCUGUGGGUUCUGCCUGGCUUCUCUGACAGAGGAGGGGGAACUGGUGGCAUCACCUGCCUGAUUCCCUCCAUGUAUUCUGGGAUUGGAAAUGAACUAAUUAGAGCUAAUGUUGGAAAUAAACUUAUUGGAUAAACUGCAUGAUAUGGGCCUGAAUUUCCCAAACAGCUAUAUACAGAGGCAACUGAGGAUGCAAAUGUUCCCUCACUUGGCCAUGGUGGUAAUGAAGUUGUACUCAGGAGCUUUUCAAAGAUGGGAGCUUCUGCUCUCCAGCUUCAGAAAGAGAAAGACGAGUGAGGAGAACGGCAGGGGGUCUGGCUGCUUCCUCCCAAUCCAACUGUAACUUCUGGAUGGCAGUAGCCCCCUGUUGUCCCCACCAUCGUGCCUGAUAUCAGCUGCAGCUGCAAGGGCAUCCUGCAUGUGGGAGACUUCUGUCACUCACGAGCAGCUGGGUCAUGGCAGUGGCACUGGCAGCUGGCUGGAUCAUUUACUGGCCACGGCCGAGAGUUGGUCUCGGAUGCGGCCCAGGCCAUCUAACAUGGUAUCCAGUGUUUCUUUGCUCAGCUCCAUGGUGACAGCUGAGAUGGAGUCUCUGUCAUCAAGGCUGGAGUACAGUGGCGCCAUCUUGGCUCACUGCAACCUCUGCCUCCCAGGUUCAAGCGAUUCUCCUGCCUCAGCCUCCUGAGUAGCUGGGAUUACAGGCACAUACCACCACACCCAGCUAAUUUUUGUAUUUUUAGUAGAGACAGGGUUUCACCAUGUUGGUCAGGCUGGUCUCAAACUCCUGACCUUGUGAUCUGCCCACCUAGGCCUCCCAAAGUGCUGGGAUUACAGGCGUGAGCCACCACAUCUGGCCGUCUUUUUAUGAGCAAGAUAUCUCCACAUUCUCUUACUCUAUCUCUUUUCUCCUGCCAAGAAGGCACAGAGCCAGGUUUUCAGUGGGGUACGGCAUUGUUUUUGACUUCUCCUGACAUAACUGUUCAAGCACCAAGUCCUGUGGAUUUCACUCCAAAAUCAGUUUUCAUCGCAUUUAUUUCUCUCCAUCCCCACUGUCAUUCUUUCAGCUCAAGUCACCGUCACCCUGAGUCUAGAUGUGUGAGGUAGCUUCCUAAGCUGUCUUCCUGCCUCAAGGAAGAGUCCUGCUUCCCCUCCACUUCCUUCUCCACACAGAGAAAGACUAAACUCGAGAGGAAGAGUUGCCUUGCGAUUAGGGCAGUGUGGACUUUGGAGCCAGGAUGCCUGGGCUCGAAUCCUGACUCCUCCGGAUAUGUGACCUUGAGCUGGUAACCACUCUUCUGUGCUUUGGCUGGCUUGUCUCUAAAAUAGAGUUGCUAAUUUGUACAUACUUGAUAAAAGUACAGCAAGGAUUAAGCAAACUCAUAUAGAUGAAGUGCUUAAAAUGGGGGCUGCCAGAUCCUAGCAGCUGCACACACAUGAGCCAGCAUUUUUCUUCUCUUAUUUUUAUUUUUAUUUUGAGACAGUCUUGCUCUUGUUGCCCAGGCUGGAGUGCAGUGGCGCGAUCUCAGGUGACUACAACCUCCACCUCCCAGGUGAUUCUCCUGCCUCAGCCUCCUGAGUAGCUUGGAUUUCCGGCACCUGCCACCAUGCCCAGCUAAUUUUUUUUGUAUGUUUAGUAAAGAUGGGGUUUCACCAUGUUGUCCAGGCUGGUCUCGAACUCCUGAGCU